CACACACACUCAUGAACACACACUGUGCUUCUUAAUGGGUGUGUUUAUGCGUGUUUGUCUC
ensembl:miRNA ipu-mir-7562 ipu-mir-7562